GUUGGCUUAGAAGCAGCCACUCAUUUAAAGAGUGCGUAAUAGCUCACUAGUCGAGUGAUUGUGCGCCGAAAAUGUAACGGGGCUAAAAUUCAUACCGAAGCUUAGGAAUGAUAGUAAUAUUGUUGGUAGAUGAGCGUUGUGUAAGUCUGCGAAGCUACACCGAAAGGAGUAGUGGAGAUAUCACAAGUGAGAAUGCCGGAAUGAGUAGCGAGAAUUAUGUGAGAAUCAUAAUGGUCGAAAAUCUAAGGUUUCUUGAGGAAGGUUCGUCCGCUCAAGGUAAGCCGGGAGCUAAGGCGAGGCCGAGAGGCGUAGUCGAUGCACAUACGGUAAAGAUUCCGUAGCCACCGAAGUCGUUAAAUACAGGGACACAGGAACAUAGCCUAACCCCACCGUUGGUUGAGUGGGGCGUAAGGGAGCGAAAAUUAGUAGCGAAGUAGGUGAUUGUACACUGGCGAGAAAAGCUGUAUGAAUUGACAAGGUGCCCGUACCGCAAACCGACACAGGUAGAUGAGGAGAGAAUCCUAAGACCAGCGGGAGAAGUGUUGUUAAGGAACUCGGCAAAAUGACCCCGUAACUUCGGGAUAAGGGGAGCCUACGAGAGUAGGCCGCAGAGAAUAGUCUCAAGCGACUGUUUAGCAAAAACACAGGUCUAUGCUAAAUCGAAAGAUGAUGUAUAUGGGCUGACGCCUGCCCGGUGCUGGAAGGUUAAGGGGAAGUGUUAGAGCAAUCGAAGCACUGAACUUAAGCCCCAGUAAACGGCGGCCGUAACUAUAACGGUCCUAAGGUAGCGAAAUUCCUUGUCAGGUAAGUUCUGACCCGCACGAAUGGCGUAACGACUUGAGAGCUGUCUCAACAACAUACCCGGCGAAAUUGAAGUACUGGUAAAGAUGCCAGUUACCCGUGAUAAGACGGAAAGACCCCAUGGAGCUUUACUGUAACUUGAUAUUGAAUUUUUGUAUUACAUGUACAGGAUAGGUGGGAGACAGAGAACUAAUGCCGCCAGGUGUUAGGGAGUCGAUGUUGGGAUACCACUCUUGUAAUAUGAAGGUUCUAACCUGCACCCGUGAAUCCGGGUGGGGGACACUGUCAGGUGGACAGUUUGACUGGGGCGGUCGCCUCCUAAAAGGUAACGGAGGCGUUCAAAGGUUGGUUCAGCACGGACGGAAAUCGUGCAACGAGUGCAAACGCAUAAACCAGCCUAACUGCGAGACCGACAAGUCGAGCAGUAACGAAAGUUGGAGUUAGUGAUCCGGCGGUAUGAGAGUGGAAUUGCCGUCGCUCAACGGAUAAAAGCUACCCUGGGGAUAACAGGCUGAUCUCCCCCAAGAGUCCACAUCGACGGGGAGGUUUGGCACCUCGAUGUCGGCUCAUCGCAUCCUGGAGCUGAAGUCGGUUCCAAGGGUUGGGCUGUUCGCCCAUUAAAGCGGUACGCGAGCUGGGUUCAGAACGUCGCGAGACAGUUCGGUCCCUAUCUAUCACGGGCGUAGGAAAUUUGAGGAGAGCUGACCUUAGUACGAGAGGACCGGGUUGGACGUACCGCUGGUGCACCUGUUGUUCUGCCAAGGGCAUAGCAGGGUAGCUAAGUACGGACGGGAUAAACGCUGAAGGCAUCUAAGCGUGAAGCCCCCUUCGAGAUAAGAUUUCCCAUAGCGUAGGCUAGUAAGGACCCAUGAAGACUACAUGGUUGAUAGGCCGGAGGUGGAAGUGCAGUAAUGUAUGUAGCUGACCGGUACUAAUAGUCCGAGGGCUUGACCAA
rnacentral:rRNA from 1 species